rnacentral:misc_RNA from 1 species
AAGUCGUAACAAGGUUUCCGUAGGUGAACCUGCGGAAGGAUCAUUAUGAAGCAUUUAUGCUAUAACUGUGUAUUACCUAUAUUUGUCAUUCAACUGUGAGCCGACGUAGUCGGUGAGCAGUGAUUUAGUUGAUGGUGUAGAUUUAAUUAUCGACCACCGACGACUAAAUGGUGACAGUCUUACUAUAACAAUGUCUGAAUAAUAAGAGAGAAUAAAAA